UUCAUCUCGAGGCGUACGCCUCGUGAGGCGAAGGGAAAACACCUCGAGAACCGAGGCGUACGCCUCGUGAGGUGAAGGUAAAAGUGUAAAACGCCUCGAGGCACGAUUCCAUACUUUUAAACCUUGGCUUCGAUUAGUGUUUUCCCCCAACUGGUCGGGUCUCAUUUAAGCUUUAUGAUUGGAAUCCGGCAUAGUUCCCUCGCAGACUCCGACAUCAAGUACCAAGUCAGAGUAGUGCUAUGCGCCUACAUGAUUUUGGGUCAUCCCGAUGGGGUUUUCAGUGGUCAAGGAGAACGUGAGACUGUUUUAGCUGAGUCAGCUGUGGUUUCGGAUCUGCAGAUUCUUAACACCGGAAGAAGUAUACUGCAAUCCCUGAAUCAAUGGUUCUUGCCUGACGUUGUAGGAAGAUAUCCAAAUUACUGAAUGUGAACAAUCAGAAUCUGAACAUGACUUCUAUGAUGCCUUUUCAAGACAUCUAAAGUAAGUUCCACUCAUCAAUUAACCUCAUAACAUAUCUUAACAUACUCAUCUUGCAGACGACAAGCCAAAAAAUUGUGGGUGUUAGUAGUUUGAUUCCUUGAAUCAAUAAGCUUUUGCUCCAAAUCUUAUAGCUUGAUUCCUUGAAACCAAAGGAAAUUGGUGAUAUUACAAAGAUAUGGGCUGGAUGGUAAAGGCAAUAGAAAACUUUGAGAGAUCGCAGGUAACGGUGAAGCCGAUGACUACAUGAUAAAAGGAAAAGGCAUAGAUGCUGACUGUUGCAGUUGACGAAAAAAGAACUAGGAAUCACCAUGAGCAUUUGGGACGUGGUACCAAUACCGAACCGGUACCGGUACUGAAUUUCCCGCACUGAAAAAAUUUUGGUACCGAUUUAGUACCUACUUUUGGCGUUUUCAGUACCGGUAUUGUUAUUAUUUCAGGAUUGGGAAGGAAUUAAACUUCUCACUUGCAAAUGUUGUUGGAGAUGAUAUUGUUUCAGGAAACAAGAAACUCAUAAUAGCUUUUUUAUGGCAAUUGAUGAGAUUUAGCAUGCUUCAACUUCUCAAAAACUUAAGAACUCAUGGUCGAGGCAAAGAGAUAACUGAUGCUGAUAUUCUACAAUGCGCCAACAUGAAAGUCAAACAGUCAGGGAAAAGACAAAUGGAUAGCUUCAAGGAUAAACGCCUGUCGGAUGGUGUUUUCUUCCUUGAGCUUCUUAGCGCGAUAAAAAGAGGGUUGUCAACUGGGGUCUUGUGACCAAAGGCGAGAGUGAGGAGGAUAAGAAGUUCAACCAAAUCGUGAAAAAGGAGGGUGUCAAAUCAUUGUUCAAGGCUGGAGGUGCUCACCUGAGAGCUAUGGCUGGUGCAGGUGUGCUUGCCGGUUGACAAUGGUCAAGAUCCAACUCUUGAUUCUCUUGUUAAGUUGACAAGCCUUUUGAUUAUUUAUGAUUUUACUGGCUUGUAGUUUACAUUUGUUUCAUGUAUUAAUCAAAUUGGCACUUUGUUUCAUGUAUUAAUCAAUGGUGACGUUUGUGACAUUAUGUAUGAUUUUAGUGCCUUUUAGUUUACAUUU